GACGUAGGUGGCGAACGUUAUCCGGGAUUAUUGGGCGUAAAGGGUGCGUAGGUGGCCUGGCAAGUUAUCAGUGGUAAAUCGAGGCCCAACCUCGUGGAAACUGGCAAUACUGCUUGGCUUGAGUGCAGGAGAGGUUAACGGAACUCUAUGUGGAGCGGUAAAAUGCACAGAUAUAUAGAAGAACAUCAAUAACGGCGAAGGCAGUUAACUAUUCUGUUACUGACACUGAGGCACGAAAGCGUGGGGAGCAAAACGG
rnacentral:rRNA from 1 species